rnacentral:tRNA from 1 species
UGGGGUGUAGCUCAGUUGGUAGAGUGCUUGUGCAAGACAAGCAUAAGGGCCUGGGUUCAAUCCCCAGCACCAAAA